ensembl:lncRNA
CUAUUUAUCCUGCAAAAGCCUGAUAUCAGAGCAGAUCCCUUGCCUCAUUGCAGUAGACAUGAAGUAUGUUUUACAGUUCUGAGAUCAGAUUCAUUCAUUUCAGUGCAAGAUGAAGUCUUCCACUUCACUUUGUGGGAAGGUUCCUUUAAGCUUUUUCUUACCUAAACUAUCUUAAAGAGUGAAGGGGUAUAAUCUUAAAUACUUGCUCAGUAUAUUAGAUGUAGUGAUCAAAUGCUUGGAACUGGUUUUUGCUACUGGCUGACUUCCCAGGCAUAGCGCUCCAUACUCAUCUUUAUGUUCUUUAAUGCUUUGAACUCAGCUAGGAGUCUUCUACAGAUGCACAACACUAAAAUGAUCUAAGAGUAAACAUUGCUUGUGUUCUAGACCAGGCACUAAAACUAGUGUGACUUAAGUUCAGUUUCUGGAGGAGGGGGGAAAAAAAAAAGAAGAAUCUUGAAGAAAAUUACUUCUGUUGACCACUAUUCCAAGUGACUGUCAGUGCUUAAGAGGACAUAAAAAUAUCUCUGUGUUCCACUGAAGUAAUUUUGAUUGUAUGUUAAGCUUUUUCUGUUCCUUUAUGAUGCUUCCCAGUGCAAGGAAAAAGUGCCAAGAUGCUGAGAGUGAAAAUGAAACAAUUCUGGACUGUAGGUAUCUUAAGCAAUUGGAAGGCCAUGGGGUGUCCUUGUGUGGAGUAGUCUGCUCUGUAUACACAGCACUGGAUGCAGAACGCAGAGGUUUCUCCUCCUUCUGGGAGGAAAGACUAGGUUGUACCUGCAUAGUAGGCUCAGCCAUCUUUACUUGUUCUUUUGGAACCCUUUCAGACCAAGGGCUCAGCAUGGAAGGCAACAGUAGCUAGAAGGCAUAACAGAAAUUAAAAAGAGAAAACUUAGGAAAAGAACUGAAAAGGGGAACUGCUAUAAAGACAGUUCUAAUUCACCACUGUAUUAUAAAAUAACACCGCUGGUGUUAUUUCAAGCAUGUGAGUUGCACUAGAAGUGAAUAUACGUCUGCAUAUUUUAAAACUCUGUGUUAGAGGACAGCAGGAGUGCUGAGAAUAUGAAGGGGAGUUUUACCUCCUUGUAUACUUGUAACUGCGCCCGUGAAUUUUAUGUGCAUGGAACUUAGGCAGAAUUUUGAAACUUAACACCUCUUCUGCCUUGGAUAAUAUGUCAGGGCUUCUUUAUUUCUGUAAAAGCUGGUUUUACAUUCCGAUUUUUCAUAGUUUGUGGCCAUUCAGAGUGGUGCUUAUGUGUAGCAUAGGCUGCCUUGUGCUCCUGUCUGUCUUCUCUUACUUCUGUUACUUUCUAAAUAGCUUGAUGCCGAGUAACAUAAUUAACAUUAAGAAGGCUCCCAAAUUACCAAUACAGCCAAAAGAUAUUCUUGUCAAACACAUACUUAGAGUACUUGAAAUUACUUUCAGGUGCAAAACCUAACAUCCUGGGGGAUGCUUGUUUCUUUGUGUCAGGAAUCACUUGCAUUGAGAAAUUCUUGCUCUGUGGAUGUUUUGUUAUGUCCAUUUUUAUUUGUUGUUCUGACUUAAGAUAGCACGUGUCAGGUAUGAUAAAGAUGAGGUCUUGUUUUAUUGAGGUCAGGGUUGCAGCCAGGAGCCCGAGAGCAAAAGAGGAAAUAAUGUUCUGAUGGCUGCAGUUCUUGCUGUUUCCAUGUGACUUUGAGGCUUUGAGAGACUUAGGCAGGACAUUCCUUUUGACUGCAAUGUGGUUUUCAUUCUCAUCAACCAGCAGCUUUUCUGGCAUUAUUUUUUCCUAAGUUGAAUUCCUAGCUUUGAAUGUUAAUUGGAGCUAUGCCUCCACCCUGGGGAAAAACUGUGCCAGGAAAGCUGUUGCCUACUGAGUAGCUGAAGAUGGUAAAACAGGAGUGCUGUGGUUUGUGCAUGCUAAGGAGCCAAUGUAUGGCCUUUUUCUUUUUUCCUUCCAGUUUUGGGGUCCAGUUCUGCAAAUACUAUACAGCAUAACACUUCUUUAACAAAUUAUAUUAUUUUAGGCCUCUUGUGCUGUAGUUUCCACUGAUAGUUGCCAGCUGGGCCUCCUUUUCCUAUGAAUUAUUCACAAUUAGGAAGAGUUGGCUCUUAAACUGUAAAAUGUUGAGAACAUUAUGAUGCUUCCUCGUAGGUCAGCUAUUUUUUGUUAAGCAGAUGACAACUCAGUGUUGUAGUUUGCUGUAUGCCAUGAGAUACUGGUGUUGUGAUUUGUAAAACCUUGCAAUCUAUGUUCACUGUAUAUUAAAAAAAAAAUUGCACUAGCUGUACUUAAAAAAAAAAAAAAAGCAAUAAUGUAAGCAUCUUAUAGCUUAUAUCAUAAGAGGUGCUAUCUGUCAUGAUCACUUGCACUUUUGACCAUGAAUUUGGUAAAAAUGUUAAAGAAAUCUGUCCUAAUGUCAAAGAAAUUUGUCCUGUGUGGUUUGCUCACUUGGCACAUAGAAGUUGAAACUUUUUAUGGUCAAUGUAUGCACUAAACAAAUGCAAUUCUUUGGACUACUUACAUGACCACAUUCAUCUUUCAAAAAAAAAUCAGAAACGAUGUCCAUCAAUGGUGCUAAUAAUCUCAAAAAAUAUCAAGAGCUGGUAUUCUCUUAUUGCCCAUGAGCACUAAGCAGAGCUGUUUUGACACCUUUUUCAAUAAAGCAAUUUCUCUAUAUUUUAAGCUUGUUCUAAAUGCUUUUUAUAAAAAUACGACCCUUUUCUAUUUAUUUUGUAUAAAACCUACAAAAUAUUAUUGUAAAUAUUUUAAAUGCGGGAAGAAGGUAGGAGUGCCUAGGGUAGAGGUCAGUCUGAGAUUGAGUUUUCAUAAGUGCUUAGGACAGCUAACCUUUUGAAACUCAAUGUAAGAUGUAAAGGAUGCCUUAGAUAGGAUUAAGGCGUAGACUCAGUGUUUUUAAAAAACAUUCUCUGGCUUCAUCAGCAUUGCUGAAACCUUGACAGAAAAUUGUAUGAGGAAAUGCUGAUUACUCUCUAUUGUAGAUGUGUCUUCUGCUGAAAGUUUUGAAAGAUAAGUUUGUGAAGGAAGAUGACCGUGUAGCCCUAUCUAAAGAGCAGAAGAGAAAUUUGAAAGUGGGAUUUGGAUGUGGUUAUCAAGGCAAUUUGUAGUCUAUUAUGAGUCAAUGUGAAAGCCUUAAUUAAGAUUGUUGAGAUUAUGGAAGAUAAGUUCUUAUUGGUUUUCGGCUUCAUAUGCAAAGUUUUCUUCAGAUGAGAAAUUCCUUGUGCCUUCUGUAGCAGUUUUUUUCCCCCUUUUUUAGUUAUGGUUUUAUGUUGCAUAUAGUAAAGGGCAAUGCACUUCCUAAUCAUUCUAAAUUGAGUCUUCAGGCAGCAUUAUCUACAUCUUCUCUCCAAGAGAAAUGAAAGCCUAUAGUUGUUGUAAAAGGCUCUCUUCUGACUGACAGUUGUGAAAGUGCUGAUGCCUUUAGGAUGAGGCUAUAGUAUGGUUCCCAACUAUGACAUAAGUAUGAUCCAAUAGUGAGAAAGUAUGACAUCUUCCACUUGUGCAUGCUUGGAAGUGCAGAUGGGGUGUCAUGUAUAGGUGUGUGAGUGAGCAGUCUCUGUGGACAAAUGUGCCACCUGAGAUGUUCCUCCUCUGUUCGAAGGUUGCACCUUUUGUAUACUGAAAGCUCAUCCAGACCAUUUAUUUUUGUUACUUCAAGAAAUGAACAGGCUUCUCAAAGACUUGUUUUACAGAACUUUUCUUGUCUAUGCAAAGACUAUUCCAGGACUAGUUUGUUUCUACUUUCAAUUAAAUUACUCUAAUCAUCCAGUGAAGAUGGAUAAUCUAGUGACAAUAGUCUGUAUCGUGUCUCACUACUCUCAGAGCUUGCUUUAAUAGCAAGAAAUUUGGAAGAGCCAAAGGGAGAGAAUUAAGUCAUCUGUAACAGCUUUAAGCCACGGUGAAAUAUAACUUUAUUUUAAUUACUAAUCGCCUCAGACAAAACUAUCUUUUUCAUUUAUUUAAAAAGUGCAAUAUAAGUAGAAACAUUAGCAGAAAUAAAUGACUGCAUGAAUAAAUGCCCUGCAAAAAUGAAGCUUUUGUGAGCACACGGCAGGUACUGGCUGGUGGGUGACCAAGUGCGGAUUUUCCCUGUUAGCAUCUGCUGUGGGUUAUGGAACUACGACGGUCAGUGUGCUAAUGCUACUCAGAGAACUUCUGAGCAUUUUCAAUAUACUUUUAACAAAGUGUGGCUUUUUUUUUCUUUUUUUUUUUUGCAAACGAAGUGCCUGUGGAAAUAAAGAUCUAAAAGCUGCCUACAAACUGAGAUACGCAGAAACGCAGCCCGUUGCUGAGGAAAAUGAAUGUUAACUACAUACAAUAACCAGUCAACGGUCUAAGUGUUGUGAUAGGAAUCAAAGGUUGGCAAAACUUGAGAGAAAUAGUAUGCUUUGGGAAGUUUACUCUCUUUAAAUUUCCAGUUCUUUUGCUUGGGCAUUAAUACUGUGAUUUGGUUAUCUUUAAAGAAAUGUGAAUUAAUUUGAACUAACCUUGUUUGUUAAGUACUUCUUUAAUGAAGGUUUUUCUCCUGGGAGCUGGGGGCAGCUGGGAAGGAGGGAAGAGGGUUAUUUGCUUGUUUCAUGGAGUUUUUUUGCCUGUUAAAAGCAAGAACUUUGAUUAUUCAGUCUAGGGUGAAACGGAUUGAGGAAUGGACUUUCCAAAAGAGCUUAAGUAAAUGGGAGAUGGCUUUUAUUACCUUGUAGUAGGACUGGGGUGGAAUCAUUGCCAAGGAAAGCAGAAUUACUUUCUCCAGUCACUUGUCAAACAGGCUUAGAAGGAGGUGAGGCUAGAUUACUUCUAUGUGGGGAAAAAAAAAUAUUGUAUAGAAAACUGUAAUAUUUUUAGAUGUGCUAAAUAGCUUAACUGUGUAUUAACAGACUGCAGAACAUAAAACUUCCCUUGAGACUCAGAUUUUCUUUUGUUCAGCUAAAUUUUCAUAUUAUCUCAUGCUGUUUUUUCUAAUAGGUGCCUCUUUUGUGAACAUUGUAAUUGAACCACUGCAUUUCUGCCAAAUAUGGGCAAAAUAAACCUGCAUUCUGUUCUGCUUUAAGGUGAUUUAAAUGGGAUCUUAAUUUCUGCUUUGUUUCAGCAGUAGUAAAAGAUCCACCUGCUGUUUAUAUUAGAUUAAAGAGAUUGCAUACAGUUGCCUUAAUUGCUUGGAGAAAAACGGACCUUGACCAGUGGAAGCUUUACGUGUGUCUGAAAUCCCUGUAACUUCUGUACACUUACUUGCAAUAAAACCUUUUCACUGUAGCCUAGCC